rnacentral:lncRNA from 1 species
CUGUUAACAGCAUUUCAUUCAUUGGAGUAAUGAAAUUCCUAGCUACUAUGACAGCAGUAGCAUCAUUCAUCAUCACAGAAUCAUUAACUGUGAGAUGACGAUUUUGGGAUACAAAGGAUGGACGCCAAACUUUGGCGUCACUGGUUGCUGUUGGAGCAUCAUUUAAAUUAAAAUAAUUUGGGCAGGAAGAAGAGGAAGCCAUUUUUGAGAAGGUAAAAGGUUUCGAAGAAAGUCUUAGGAAAACUAAAGUUUCAGAAAAUGAAGAAAUUUGAGUUGAAACGCAGUUGCUCCAAUCAAGUUUUGCAAAGGCCAUAUCUAUAGGAGGAAAUAUGGCUACUGUUUUUCAGGACCCCAAUAUCUUCUCGAAUCCCAUAUUAUCUUUUUCUUUCCUAGAGUCCAAAACUUCACGUGGCCUCUAAUAAUGCCUGUCGGCACUUUCGGCGUUUUCAAGCAUUAUUUUCAAAGCCGAUCUUGCUUUACGGAUUUCAC